UACGGAGGGGGCUAGCGUUGUUCGGAAUUACUGGGCGUAAAACGCACGUAGGCGGACUCUUAAGUCGGUGGUGAAAUCCUGGAGCUCAACUCCAGAACUGCCUUCGAUACUGAGAGUCUCGAGUCCGAGAGAGGUGAGUGGAACUGCGAGUGUAGAGGUGAAAUUCGUAGAUAUUCGCAAGAACACCAGUGGCGAAGGCGGCUCACUGGCUCGGUACUGACGCUGAGGUGCGAAAGCGUGGGGAGCAAACAGG
rnacentral:rRNA from 1 species